UACGAAGGGGGCUAGCGUUGUUCGGAAUCACUGGGCGGAAAGGGCGCGUAGGCGGCUUUUCAAGUCGGGGGUGAAAGCCUGUGGCUCAACCACAGAAUUGCCUUCGAUACUGUUAGGCUUGAGACCGGAAGAGGUUAGUGGAACUGCGAGUGUAGAGGUGAAAUUCGUAGAUAUUCGCAAGAACACCAGUGGCGAAGGCGGCUAACUGGUCCGGUUCUGACGCUGAGGCGCGAAAGCGUGGGGAGCAAACAGG
rnacentral:rRNA from 1 species